rnacentral:rRNA from 1 species
UACGGGGGGGCAAGCGUUGUUCGGAAUUACUGGGCGUAAAGGGCUCGUAGGCGGCCAACUAAGUCAGACGUGAAAUCCCCUCGGCUUAACCGGGGAACUGCGUCUGAUACUGGAUGGCUUGAGUUUGGGAGAGGGGAUGCGGAAUUCCAGGUGUAGCGGUGAAAUGCGUAGAUAUCUGGAGGAACACCGGUGGCGAAGGCGGCAUCCCUGGACCAACACUGACGCUGAGGAGCGAAAGCCAGGGGAGCAAACGGG